UUAACAUUUAAAAAAUAACAAUAUUUAGGAUAAAAUGAAAAAAGACCAAAGUACCCAUAACCUUAUCCACACUCACACGUCCACCUGCUCUCCUCUUGCUCAACCUUCUCCAUCCCUCAAUGCUCAGCGGUGGAUGCAGUGGAGUGUGCUGCGGUGCGGAGAUGAGCGGGCGCGCGGGCACUCGCCCCCAAAUCCCAGCCUCCUCUGAGUCUCCUUCCCAUCCCUCUCGCCCAUGGCGGUGGGCGGCCAUGUUGCGGCUCUUUCUCUGCACCGCGACCUUGCCGUGCUCUGGGCGCCCUGUCCGUGCCAGCAGCUUCAUAAGGCCGGUGCCAGGAGGUGCGCGGCGGCGGGGCCGCGGCCACCUCAUGGUGGUGUAGGCUGGCGGGCCGCCUAGCACCAACCAGCUAAUCCUCGCCUUCAUGCUCCCACUCCCCCUCUUCAUCGGCACGCUCGUCAUCGCCGCCCGCGUUACCGCCGACCUCGAGGACCGAUUCCUAAGGGAGUUAUGAAGAUGGGCAGGAGAGGAUGAACCUGGGGUUGCCGAUGGACCUAAGGACUGGUACCGUUGGGUGAGUCUACUUGCUCAGAUCUUGCGGCACCUGCACCAGCGUUCUUUUGUACAACAGAUCAAGGUGGAACUAUGUAAAGCAGAUGCAGUCGCAGGCUCUACAAGGACUUCUCUGGCAUGUCGACACCCACCACGAAUCGUUGUUGAUCCGACACCCACUAGUGAAUUGUUGUUGAUCCAGUGAGUCGGGCGGCGCUUUGGCUACAAUUGAUCGAUGAAGAUAGAAUCAGGUGUGGAACUGUGGAAGAACCCAUUGAAAAAAAAAAACCUAAAAAGAGGAGAGAAUAUGGAUCUCACCAGAGUUCUUAGCGUGGAGGGGAUGGCUAGACUGGUCAGUUUUUGCUAUUUCCUGACCGUCAGGCGCCAGUAGAAGCUGUUGGUGGCCGUGUGAUGAUCGAAGACCAGACGGCGCAGGUCCUGCUCGGGCUGGGGAGGUGGCUUGGAACCGAUGCGAAACUUGUUUAGUAUUUCCUCGCAGAGCAAGAGGAGAGGAGGCAGCAUGAAUUUCUGUUGAUCGUGAUCUGGUGACGCUGUGAAGAGGGAUCAUGGCGCUGAGCGAUCCAGCUCCCUGGGAAACAAAGUGGAGCCACACGGACGCAGCCCAACAUGGUCAGUAGCUAGGGUUGCAAAGCAGCGGCGAGGGUCGAGAGACCUGAGGUGGCCGAAGGAGGCACUGGUAGCGAGAGGCGCGACGGCUGCGUGAACGUGAUUCCUAUCAAUCACGAUAUGUUGCUUGAUUUGUUGGACCAGGUCUGGCGAGGGCGUCGGGCGAGGGCGAGGCCGACUCCAGGACGACGCACGAGAUUGUGUUUUGUUUCCUUAUUAUCUGUGACCAUAAUUUUUGCUACGUAGGAUUGGAAAGUGUUACGGUGAUGAAAUUUUAUAUCAGGAAUCCUUUAUUUUUCUUUAUUUCAUUUCGUACCCUUCCACAAUAUAUUAUUCCCUAUCGUAAAUUUACAUCAGAAAUUCUUUCUUGUUUUUUUUUUUCAAUUUUCACCCUUCCACCUUCUAUACGGCUACUGUUGUUUCGCACGUAGGGGAGCGGGAGCGACCCAAAAAAAGUCGAACCAUCUGGUGGUCUUACUUUUAUUCUUUUUAGUUGUAGGAGAUUGGUAUUCUUUUCAUCUAUUUGGUCAUCUUUUCCUCCUAUGGCUGUCUUCGUAACCUGGCUUUCAGAAUUGUUUACUACUUGCAAUUUUAUAACUUCUAUAUUUCUUUCU